rnacentral:rRNA from 1 species
AUACGUAGGGGGCGAGCGUUGUCCGGAAUGAUUGGGCGUAAAGGGCGCGUAGGCGGCCCGGUAAGUCUGGAGUGAAAGUCCAGUUUUUAAGAUGGGAAUUGCUUUGGAUACUGUCGGGCUUGAGUGCAGGAGAGGUAAGUGGAAUUCCCAGUGUAGCGGUGAAAUGCGUAGAGAUUGGGAGGAACACCAGUGGCGAAGGCGACUUACUGGACUGUAACUGACGCUGAGGCGCGAAAGUGUGGGGAGCAAACAGGAUUAGAUACCCUGGUAGUCCACACUGUAAACGAUGAAUGCUAGGUGUAGGGGGUAUCGACCCCUUCUGUGCCGCAGUCAACACAAUAAGCAUUCCGCCUGGGGAGUACGGCCGCAAGGUUGAAACUCAAAGGAAUUGACGGGG